rnacentral:lncRNA from 1 species
UUCAACAGAGGAAAACUAUUGAAGGUUGGUCUUCUUCUCCAAAGAGAGGAGAUGAGUUUCUAACCAAGAGUAAAAAAAUAGAAGGGACAACUGAUGAUUUUAUUGUCUCUCAAAUGAAGAGAUCAAGUUCCAAGAAAUAUGAAGGUGUGGCUGCCUUCUCUCUUUCGAGAAUGAGAAAAACAAAAAACAAAAAAACUCGGCCAUAGCAAGACUUGGGAAAAUGGCCAUUUUCUGCUCUUUCUUUCUGCAAAGCUACUGCACCCGUUUUUCUUAUUUCUUUAGGUUUUAGGUCUUUAU